AUUGUACGCUGGCGGCAGGCCUAACACAUGCAAGUCGAACGGUAACAGGAAGCAGCUUGCUGCUUUGCUGACGAGUGGCGGACGGGUGAGUAAUGUCUGGGAAACUGCCCGAUGGAGGGGGAUAACUACUGGAAACGGUAGCUAAUACCGCAUAACGUCGCAAGACCAAAGAGGGGGACCUUAGGGCCUCUUGCCAUCGGAUGUGCCCAGAUGGGAUUAGCUAGUAGGUGGGGUAACGGCUCACCUAGGCGACGAUCCCUAGCUGGUCUGAGAGGAUGACCAGCCACACUGGAACUGAGACACGGUCCAGACUCCUACGGGAGGCAGCAGUGGGGAAUAUUGCACAAUGGGCGCAAGCCUGAUGCAGCCAUGCCGCGUGAAUGAAGAAGGCCUUCGGGUUGUAAAGUACUUUCAGCGGGGAGGAAGGGAGUAAAGUUAAUACCUUGGCUCAUUGACGUUACCCGCAGAAGAAGCACCGGCUAACUCCGUG
rnacentral:rRNA from 1 species